AAGGCUUGGUCCUAGCCUUGAAGUCAGUUAUUACUUGAUAUACACAUGCAAGUUUCCGCACCCCUGUGAAAACGCCCUUAAAUCCCCCAUUAGGGAACAGGAGCUGGUAUCAGGCACAACUUUUUGCCCAAGACACCUAGCCUCGCCACACCCACAAGGGAUCUCAGCAGUGAUUAACAUUGAGCAUAAGCGACAGCUCGACUCAGUUAAAUUAAUUAGAGCCGGCCAAUCUGGUGCCAGCCGCCGCGGCUACACCACUGUGGCUCAAAUUGACUUCCGCCGGCGUAAAGCGUGAUUUAAGAUACAGACAUUUGGAACCAAAUUAAAAUUAAGCUGUAACACGCUUGUUAACUAAGAAGCCCAAAAACGAAAGUUAUUCCAAUUAAACCAACUUGAACUCACGACAGCUGAGAGACAAACUGGGAUUAGAUACCCCACUAUGCUCAGCCGUAAACUUUAAUUUACUCUCUCUUCGCCUGGGAACUACGAGCCAAGCUUAAAACCCAAAGGACUUGACGGUACCCCAUAUCCCCCUAGAGGAGCCUGUCCUAUAAUCGAUAACCCCCGUUAAACCUCACCAUUUUUAGCUACUCAGCCUGUAUACCUCCGUCGUCAGCUUACCACGUGAGCGUCAGUGAGCUUAAUGUCUCUCCAACUAAACGUCAGGUCAAGGUGCAACACAUAAAAUGGGAAGCGAUGGGCUACACUUUCUAACUUAGACCAAACGAAAGACUAUUUAUGAAACCUAGUCAGAAGGCGGAUUUAGUAGUAAAAUGGAACCAGAGAGUCCCUUUUAACCCGGCACUGGGGUGUGUACACACCGCCCGUCACCCUCCUCGAUGCUAUAAAAAAGUUUCUAACACCUUUUAGCUCCACAGAUGAGGCAAGUCGUAACAUGGUAAGUAUACCGGAAGGUGUGCUUGGAAA
rnacentral:ncRNA from 1 species